AGAGUUUGAUCAUGGCUCAGGAUGAACGCUAGCUACAGGCUUAACACAUGCAAGUCGAGGGGAAACGACAUCGAAAGCUUGCUUUUGAUGGGCGUCGACCGGCGCACGGGUGAGUAACACGUAUCCAACCUGCCGUCUACUCUUGGACAGCCUUCUGAAAGGAAGAUUAAUACAAGAUGGCAUCAUGAGUCCGCAUGUUCACAUGAUUAAAGGUAUUCCGGUAGACGAUGGGGAUGCGUUCCAUUAGAUAGUAGGCGGGUAACGGCCACUAGUCUUCGAUGGAUAGGGGUUCUGAGAGGAAGGUCCCCCANAUUGGAACUGAGACACGGUCCAAACUCCUACGGGAGGCA
rnacentral:rRNA from 1 species